GAUGAACGCUGGCGGCGUGCCUAAUACAUGCCAGUCGAGCGAACAGACGAGGAGCUUGCUCCUCUGACGUUAGCGGCGGACGGGUGAGUAACACGUGGAUAACCUACCUAUAAGACUGGGAUAACUUCGGGAAACCGGAGCUAAUACCGGAUAAUAUAUUGAACCGCAUGGUUCAAUAGUGAAAGACGGUUUUGCUGUCACUUAUAGAUGGAUCCGCGCCGCAUUAGCUAGUUGGUAAGGUAACGGCUUACCAAGGCAACGAUGCGUAGCCGACCUGAGAGGGUGAUCGGCCACACUGGAACUGAGACACGGUCCAGACUCCUACGGGAGGCAGCAGUAGGGAAUCUUCCGCAAUGGGCGAAAGCCUGACGGAGCAACGCCGCGUGAGUGAUGAAGGUCUUCGGAUCGUAAAACUCUGUUAUUAGGGAAGAAUAAAUGUGUAAGUAACUAUGCACGUCUUGACGGUACCUAAUCAGAAAGCCACGGCUAACUACGUG
rnacentral:rRNA from 1 species